CAGGAAGAGCUCUUCAGCAUGGCAGG
rnacentral:piRNA from 1 species